UACAGAGGGGGCGAGCGUUAUUCGGAAUUAUUGGGCGUAAAGGGCGCGUAGGCGGCGUGACAAGUCACUUGUGAAAUCUCUGGGCUUAACCCAGAACGGCCAAGUGAAACUGUUGUGCUAGAGUGCAGAAGGGGCAAUCGGAAUUCUCGGUGUAGCGGUGAAAUGCGUAGAUAUCGGGAGGAACACCAGUGGCGAAGGCGGCGACCUGGACAGAUAUUGACGCUGAGGUGCGAAAGCGUGGGGAGCGAACAGG
rnacentral:rRNA from 1 species